rnacentral:rRNA from 1 species
UACGGAGGGUGCAAGCGUUAUCCGGAUUCACUGGGUUUAAAGGGUGCGUAGGUGGGCUGGUAAGUCAGUGGUGAAAUCUCCAGGCUUAACUUGGAAACUGCCGUUGAUACUAUCUGUCUUGAAUACCGUGGAGGUGAGCGGAAUAUGUCAUGUAGCGGUGAAAUGCUUAGAUAUGACAUAGAACACCAAUUGCGAAGGCAGCUCGCUACACGAAUAUUGACUCUGAGGCACGAAAGCGUGGGGAUCAAACAGG